CUUCCGUAGGGGGACCUGCGGAGGGAUCAUUACACAAAUAUGAAGGCGGGCUAGGACCUCUCGGGGUUACAGCCUUGCUGAAUUAUUCACCCUUGUCUUUUGCGUACUUCUUGUUUCCUUGGUGGGUUCGCCCACCACUAGGACAAACAUAAACCUUUUGUAAUUGCAAUCAGCGUCAGUAACAAAUUAAUAAUUACAACUUUCAACAACGGAUCUCUUGGUUCUGGCAUCGAUGAAGAACGCAGCGAAAUGCGAUAAGUAGUGUGAAUUGCAGAAUUCAGUGAAUCAUCGAAUCUUUGAACGCACAUUGCGCCCUUUGGUAUUCCAAAGGGCAUGCCUGUUCGAGCGUCAUUUGUACCCUCAAGCUUUGCUUGGUGUUGGGCGUCUUGUCUCUAGCUUUGCUGGAGACUCGCCUUAAAGUAAUUGGCAGCCGGCCUACUGGUUUCGGAGCGCAGCACAAGUCGCACUCUCUAUCAGCAAAGGUCUAGCAUCCAUUAAGCCUUUUUUUCAACUUUUGACCUCGGAUCAGGUAGGGAUACCCGCUGAACUUAAGCAUAUCAAAGCGCGGGGAGGAACAG
rnacentral:rRNA from 1 species